UGGGGAAUUUUGGACAAUGGGGGCAACCCUGAUCCAGCCAUGCCGCGUGCGGGAAGAAGGCCUUCGGGUUGUAAACCGCUUUUAGCCGGGAAGAACAGGCGCGGGCUAAUACCUCGUGUUUUUGACUGUACCGGCGGAAUAAGCACCGGCUAACUCCGUUCCAGCAGCCGCGGUAAUACGUAGGGUGCGAGCGUUAAUCGGAAUUACUGGGCGUAAAGCGUGCGCAGGCGGUUCGUUGUGUCGGUGGUGAAAGCCCCGGGCUUAACCUGGGAAUGGCCAUGGAAACUGGCGAACUGGAGUGUGGCAGAGGGGGGGUGGAAUUCCGCGUGUAGCAGUGAAAUGCGUAGAGAUGCGGAGGAACACCGAUGGCGAAGGCAGCCCCCUGGGCUAGCACUGACGCUCAGGCACGAAAGCGUGGGGAGCAAAC
rnacentral:rRNA from 1 species